CCUGGCGGCCUUAGCGCGGUGGUCCCACCUGACCCCAUGCCGAACUCAGAAGUGAAACGCCGUAGCGCCGAUGGUAGUGUGGGGUUUCCCCAUGCGAGAGUAGGGAACUGCCAGGU
rnacentral:rRNA from 1 species